GGGACACGUGGUAUCCUGUCUGAAUAUGGGGGGACCAUCCUCCAAGGCUAAAUACUCCUGACUGACCGAUAGUGAACCAGUACCGUGAGGGAAAGGCGAAAAGAACCCCGGCGAGGGGAGUGAAAAAGAACCUGAAACCGUGUACGUACAAGCAGUGGGAGCACGCUUAGGCGUGUGACUGCGUACCUUUUGUAUAAUGGGUCAGCGACUUAUAUUCUGUAGCAAGGUUAACCGAAUAGGGGAGCCGAAGGGAAACCGAGUCUUAACUGGGCGUUAAGUUGCAGGGUAUAGACCCGAAACCCGGUGAUCUAGCCAUGGGCAGGUUGAAGGUUGGGUAACACUAACUGGAGGACCGAACCGACUAAUGUUGAAAAAUUAGCGGAUGACUUGUGGCUGGGGGUGAAAGGCCAAUCAAACCGGGAGAUAGCUGGUUCUCCCCGAAAGCUAUUUAGGUAGCGCCUCGUGAAUUCAUCUCCGGGGGUAGAGCACUGUUUCGGCAAGGGGGUCAUCCCGACUUACCAACCCGAUGCAAACUGCGAAUACCGGAGAAUGUUAUCACGGGAGACACACGGCGGGUGCUAACGUCCGUCGUGAAGAGGGAAACAACCCAGACCGCCAGCUAAGGUCCCAAAGUCAUGGUUAAGUGGGAAACGAUGUGGGAAGGCCCAGACAGCCAGGAUGUUGGCUUAGAAGCAGCCAUCAUUUAAAGAAAGCGUAAUAGCUCACUGGUCGAGUCGGCCUGCGCGGAAGAUGUAACGGGGCUAAACCAUGCACCGAAGCUGCGGCAGCGACGCUUAUGCGUUGUUGGGUAGGGGAGCGUUCUGUAAGCCUGUGAAGGUGUGCUGUGAGGCAUGCUGGAGGUAUCAGAAGUGCGAAUGCUGACAUAAGUAACGAUAAAGCGGGUGAAAAGCCCGCUCGCCGGAAGACCAAGGGUUCCUGUCCAACGUUAAUCGGGGCAGGGUGAGUCGACCCCUAAGGCGAGGCCGAAAGGCGUAGUCGAUGGGAAACAGGUUAAUAUUCCUGUACUUGGUGUUACUGCGAAGGGGGGACGGAGAAGGCUAUGUUGGCCGGGCGACGGUUGUCCCGGUUUAAGCGUGUAGGCUGGUUUUCCAGGCAAAUCCGGAAAAUCAAGGCUGAGGCGUGAUGACGAGGCACUACGGUGCUGAAGCAACAAAUGCCCUGCUUCCAGGAAAAGCCUCUAAGCAUCAGGUAACAUCAAAUCGUACCCCAAACCGACACAGGUGGUCAGGUAGAGAAUACCAAGGCGCUUGAGAGAACUCGGGUGAAGGAACUAGGCAAAAUGGUGCCGUAACUUCGGGAGAAGGCACGCUGAUAUGUAGGUGAAGCGACUUGCUCGUGGAGCUGAAAUCAGUCGAAGAUACCAGCUGGCUGCAACUGUUUAUUAAAAACACAGCACUGUGCAAACACGAAAGUGGACGUAUACGGUGUGACGCCUGCCCGGUGCCGGAAGGUUAAUUGAUGGGGUCAGCGCAAGCGAAGCUCUUGAUCGAAGCCCCGGUAAACGGCGGCCGUAACUAUAACGGUCCUAAGGUAGCGAAAUUCCUUGUCGGGUAAGUUCCGACCUGCACGAAUGGCGUAAUGAUGGCCAGGCUGUCUCCACCCGAGACUCAGUGAAAUUGAACUCGCUGUGAAGAUGCAGUGUACCCGC
rnacentral:rRNA from 1 species